GAGAUCUCUGGGCAGCAAUCGCGAUUCCGAUCGGGGUAACAAGUUCUGGCCCAUUGUGAAUUUUUUUGGAAAUGGUAAGUGAAGAAAUAGCCUCUAUUCCACGGAUCGCGACCCGGUUUUCAGGGAGAUUUAGUUUUUCGGCCAGCCU
rnacentral:antisense_RNA from 1 species